GCUAUGGCUUAGUUGGUUAAAGCGACUGUCUAGUAAACAGGAAAUCCAAAUUCGAAUCUCAGCA
rnacentral:tRNA from 1 species